ensembl:misc_RNA Metazoa_SRP Metazoan signal recognition particle RNA
GAUGGGGACUGGUAUCCCCCUGUAGUCUCAGCUACCCAGGAGGCUGAGGGGGGCAGAUCAGUUGAGCCCAGGAGUUCUGCACAAUAGUGUGCUGUGUUGAGUUGUCUGCACUAAGUUCAGCAUCAAUAUGGUGACCUCCGGGGGCUGAGGGACCACCAGGGUGCCCAAGGAGGGCUGAACCGGCCCAGGUCAGAAACAGAGCAGGUCAAAAGUGUCCUGCUCAUCAGUGGAGAGACUGCGCCUGUGAAUAGCCACUGCGCUCCAGCCUGGGCAACAUAGCACGACCUCAUCUCC